GGGUCCCCCUGGCCCCUCCUUCUCGUGCUCUCUCCAAAUUUGUCUUUUAGAGGCCUUGUGACCACCCUAGGAGGCGCUCUGUAUGACAGAAGAGUCAUUGACAUUUUUAUGGCACCCUGAAAAAAAUUACACUACAAAUUCAUAUAACACAGCCCCUUGGAAGACCUGAUAAAGAACUAUCCCCCCCCCCCCCCCCCGUGCGUGUGUUUGUGUAUGAGUUUGAUAAAAAAAAAGUACUUUGGUAGCUCUUGAGCCAUAAAGCUUUGUGACUUGACUUCCCCAGCUUUCUCUCUGCCCUGCAUAAAUGCAGCAGGGUUCAGAUUCAGGUUUCUGGUUAUAUUGGAGCAUGGAUCGCUUUUGUUUUUAACAGUGGAGGAGGAGACAGCAGUAGACCCCAAGUUCUUGGAGUUUCCUAAAUUUGUAGUAAGCUUCUUAAAAGUAGUUUGCUGUCUUGGAAAAGCUGAGAAUCCUGUUUAUCUUUGUUUAGAACUCUAUUUGAAGUCACCUGGGUGGUUCAUAAAAACAAAAUGAGCACCGGCUCUUCUUACACACAUUAUCUAAAGACUCUUGCACUUAUGGUCAGAGGUUUAGUUUAUUCUGUGUAGGCUUCUAUAGCGAGGAUGCACCUGAGUUAAAGGUAUAAAUCAUUGCUGGUGAGGUGGCAACCACUUGAUGGGAACUUUAUGGCCUUAGGACAAAUUAUGAAACCUAAUCCGACUAUGUUUUGUUUUCUAGCCCAGGCUAUCCUAGAACUCACUGAGUAGCUCAGGCUGACCCUAGACUGGCAGUGAUUCUCCUGCCUCAACCUCCCUUAGUGCUGUAUUACAAACAUGAAUCCCCAUGCCCAGCUUUGACUUUCCAGAAAAAAGACUGAAUGGGUUUCCCACAUUCAGUGAUUGCACAUUAGAGUUCAUACCUGAGAUUCCCAGGUAUGCACCCGUCAACUGAAAGGAAACUGCAUGUAUUGAGAGAUAGCAGUAAGUUUGGCCUCAGCCUUUCUCAGCUUUUAUUGUUUCAUGUUGUGAAAUAUGAACAUAAACUUUGAUCAGCCUUAUAAUAGAUCAGCUGUACCAAGGCUUGGAAAUAUGAUGGAGGAUUAGGAGCAUGUAUAGUUUUAAUUCUGGUGGUGUGAUCUGUCUCUGGCACAACCUGCAUCUUUUCUUGUCUACAUAGUAUGUGACAACUGCUAUUCUAGGCUCUCUCCAGGUAUCUUCCAUUCUUCAGCUGGUACACAUGACUUCCAAUAGUUGUUGCCUACAACAGAUGAGAAGACUAUGCUGGUAGUCUGCUGUCCUGUCUUAGGCGUCUGCUGACCUUGGCUAAGGUGUCUUGUUCUUUCUGCACCUUAAUUUGUUUGCAAAGUGAGGAAAGUAUUGGGCCUGGCCUGUUAGGCUACUGGGAUUACAUGUGAUAUAUAUGUAAGAGUCUGACUUGCAUUUCAGUGUUUAUCUACUGUUUGCUCUUUAUGUUGUAAUCACCUAUGGUCGUCUCGGAAGUAAAUAAGUGGUAGAGCCAGACUUUGACCUAUGGCUUAGACAGAGCCUCAGCCUGUGGCCCUCUCUGUUUCUUCAUGGAAUAUUUAUUAGCUAGUAAAGUCAUGGAUAUUGAGGAAGAUAUAUACUGAUUACAACUUUUUCCUUUCCUAAUGUCUCGUAUAUAUUAAAUUCAUAAGAAGUACUAUACUACUGCAAAUAGUUUGAGGUUACUCAGUUUGUAGUUGAGUUUAACAGGGGUCAGGAGCCUUUCAUUUUGGCAUUACUGGAUCAGGAGAAAAAAAUAAAAAAUUCUAUUACAGGAGGAUAUUGUUACCAUUUUAGAUAGAAGAAAACAAAGCCUCAUUUAUUUAUCUUGGAACUUUUAGAGUCACCUGCCGAGGCAGAACUGCAGUUGCAACAUGUAAUCAGCUGAUGCAGUGUGUGUUUCUAUACAGUUCUCAAACACAAACAGGCAGGAUAGGUCAGGAAGCCACUGGAUAUGGUCUGUUGAUUCACAUCCUCCUCGGCUGUCUUCUCGCAGGAGAGGCCCUUUCAACCUCAGCAGUUGGCUGUGCUUGCUCAGGAUCUGUGAGACGAGAAAGCACAGUGUAGGGUGAAGUUGGCUUUAACCUGAUUUCUCCCUUUCGCCUUCUAGACCGUCAUUGUGCCUCCACCCUCAAGGCUUCCUGCCGAUCAUACCUAGCCAAGCAUACUUUUUGGUCUUCUACUUUUCUCCUUAUUGAGUCUUUUAAAGUACUGCCCCCCUCCUGUUGAGACUAACUUCUCAUUUUCUCAAUGACCAUGAAUAUAAUUAGCGCAAAGAGAAACUUAGGUAUAAAAGUCAGACAAAGCACAGGUUUUGAAAAAAUAGUCUUUGCUUGGUUCCUGCUACGUGACAUCUAUGCUUCCUCAUUUGUAGGUGCUGUAGAGUCAUGCGUAUCUACUAAGCUACUGCUUUGAAGGCAUUAUUUUUCCUUGCCCAUCCUAUUGUUGGUGCAGAAGCCAGUUGUAAAAGUUGAGUAUAUGGAAAAUGAAAAAGGGCUCCCUUUGCUUCUAAUUAUUAACCAUAAUUCUUUAAUUCUCUCUUGUAUGCUAGAAAGAGAUUAGCAAGCUCACACACAACAUUUGAUACUCUCAAAAUAGAAAAUAUCACUACAUAGUAUUGAUCCUUGAGCUAUAAGAAACAAAAUUCUUCAAGUGUGUUUCUCUCUCCCAUCAUUUCUUCUGGGGAACAGGUAAAACCUCUCCCUCUCUGCAGGGCCAUUGGCGAAACCCUGUAUCUGCAGGAAACCCUGUAUCUGCAGGAAACCCUGUAUCUGCAGGAAACCCUGUAUCUGCAGGAAACCCUGUAUCUGCAGGUCUCGUUGCAUGUUGUCCUGAUCUCGGGACUUAGAGUUUGCGUCUUGCUGAGGACGGUUCCUAACUGGACACAUUUGAGAUGGCUUGUAUGCUUUUCUUACUAGAGUAUUCAUGGUAGCCUAAAUUAGGCUGUAGUGAUAACUUCUAGUUUUCGGUGGCCCAAAAGGGAAGUUUUAUUCUGCUUGGUAUGGGUUGUGUCAAACUUAGCUUUGGGGAAGGACCCACUGCCGUAUGUUGUUUUGACUCUGGAAUUUGGGCUGGCAGAGCCAUUGCUUUGCACUUGGUUGCUGUCAGUAAGGAACUGCAUUUUCUGCUUUAAAGUGUCGCUUGUAGUGAUCUCGAUUUUUCCUAGCCUGAGCAAGCUACACGGUCAUGGGCAUGAGCAAGUUGCCUGUCGUAUUCUGUGAGUUCACAUACCCUCCUUUGACUUCAGUUUUAAAGGAAAGGAACUAGAUGACUGAGUUCACCAUGUUGUGUGAUUCUAAACUAGAGUUCACAUUGAGAUCCCCAGACACUCAGCCUUUCAACUUUUACCAUUUUGCAGUUAUGUACGAUGAACAUAAAUUUUGACCAACUUUACAAUAAUUUACAAUAAUUUAAAAUUUAAAAAAUUUACAAUAAUAAAUUUGUUCCAAGACUUUAAGAAAUGACUGGGUUCAAAUACAUGACCAAGUUGCGUUGCCUUGAGCUUGGUUGCUCAGAACAGUGAGUUAAUUCUGGACUUUGACGGGUCCUUUGUAGCGGAUCUCACCUUUUCCUGGCCUGACCCCACAGCAUGAUGAUGGUGUGGCAGUAGGAGAGAGUAGAGCAGCUAGCAUAGACUUAAUGCCUCUGGUACUUGGCAUGCUGUCCACACACCAAGUGUUAAUCAAGCCCGAGUCCUGUGAGCAUUGCCUCCUGACAGACACUUCAGUCUAGCCUACUACCUCUGCUGUGAUUCAGGAACCUUUACCAAAUGUCCCUGCUUUUUGCUUCAGGCUAACAUUCUCCCAUCUUUAUCGAAAAGUGAACUCUGCAAUACAAAUAUGAUUUGAUUAUUUCCCUUUGUGAAUCCUCAGUUUCCAGGUAAAAGGAGCUCUAGACCAGUAAAGAAGGACUGUUGGUACUGAGUACAGGAGAGACAGUUCUUAAAGACUACCCUCUUCUAGAAGAAAGACUUUGAUCAGUCCAUUCAGACCAUCGCACCCUGCACCUUACACCAUUCUUGUGAUAGCUGCUCUGUGAGGUCCUCCUUAAAAACUGCAUUUUAAAGUUACUUCCAAUAAAAUGGUAGUCUUGAUCUCAAAGGCCUACAUGAUUGUGGUUUGUAUGGGUAAUGGAAUUCAUAAUAGUCUUUCCAAUCCACACAGGUCUGACAUAAGGCUGUGCCACAGGAGUUCCUAAAAGACUAUUUUACUUUGGUCAAAGGAAAAUAAUAUAAAGUCAAAAUUUUCUGUAGAUAAUUCUCUUAAACAAGUGUACAUGGAAAAUUAAUUUUCAUUAACCUUAAAUAUUUGAAAUAUAUUUUUCGUUAACAUUAAAUAUUAAAGGAAGCAUAGUGUGCGGGGUUGUCUUACAUGUGGUGUGCCACAUCCCCAUACAGAGCAGAUUUACAUGUAGCCUGUCCUUUAAUGUUCUACUACAGCAGUUGUUUAAGACCGUAUCAAUCUUUUGUGACUUUGUUUGUUUGGUUGUUUGGUUUGGUUUUUUGAGACAGGGUUUCUCUGUGUAGCCCUGGCUGUCCUGGAACUCACUCUGUAGACCAGGCUGGCCUCAAACUCAGAAAUUCUCCUACCUCCUCUGCCUCCCAAGUGCUGGGAUUAAAGGUGUGCACCACCACGCCCGGCAGUAUCAAUCUUUUAUAAAGGACAAAUAUCACAAUCUUAAAUCAGACUUAGCAUAACAUUUACUUAGUUAUCUUGAAGAAGUUGUACUUUUUUGAUAUACACUUUGUGUUGUAAAACAUAUCUUAAUAAUAUCUACUACAAAGCCAUUAUACAUUAUGGUUUGCUCAUUAUUUACUAUUUCUUCCUGUUCUCUAUAUUUCAAAAGCAGGACAUGGUGCUCACUUUUUAAAAGUUUAAUAGUGUCUACAUUGUCUAUAUGAAAUACUGGGCACCAGUCUCUCAUGUACACAUUGCUUAUUUAAUGCUCAUAUCUGUUAUAGUCUUCAUCUUACAGUUAAGACUGUUGGAGCGUAACUGGCUGAUAGUGGCUGGUUCCGUGGAGGUGCAAGAAGAACUGGCUCUCUCAGAGGUGGCUAUCCUUCCAAACCCUGGCUAGUAAGCAUCUUGUUGGGCCUCCUUCCUGUCAGACAUUGUGCAGGACCAUGCACCGUUGAGGGAGAUAUUAGGGUCAGCAAACCAUACCCCAGUAUAGUGCCUCAUAUGCUCCCACAUGCUCUGAACCUCAGACUUUGGCAUUUGCUCAUCAUAUUAUGUUCUCUGUAGCUUUUUUCUUUUUUCUUUUUGAGAAAAGGCAGCAUAGUUCAGGUGUUGACAAAUCCUUACCUGCACAGCCUAAAAUAUUUAGUACUUCACAUUUGAUGGAAAGAGUUUGCCACUUCUGCUUUAUAGUCAGUGCAACCAAAUACCCACCAAGCCACAGCUCCUGCUGUUGCGGUUGAAGAGAGGCCCAUCCAUGCCAUCUUCUCAAGAUAGAACAAUUUCAGUGGAAGUUGUAUGCACUGAGUGUAAAGUAAAAACAAGAUAAUUAAUUAGAAAAGUACAAAGCAUGAAGCCACUCAGCCUGUGUCUCGGUUACUAAUCUGGGUCCUGACCUGUGUACUCCCCAGUGCUUCUUUACGCUUGGUUGUUUAGUGUACUCUUAGAAAGUUAGAAGCAGCCACAGAAGGACUUGGCUUGCGUGUUGGAUUGAUGGUGAGUAAGAGAUCAGGGAGCAUAGCCCAUACUGACUGGAAUACCACCAGUCAAAGAUGCCAUGGUAACUUAACACAGACAUAACUGCACAUGGCAUGCAGAACCCUUCCACAUGUCUCCCUAGGAUUUGACUUAUCCACAAGAGUUUCAUUUAAUAAUUUAAUUCACAAUUGAUCUUACAUCUAUUACAAUUAAUUUUUAAAAGUGGCCAUGUGUAAAGCCAUAAAUGUGAUCUUAGUCUUAACCUGGGGACUCUCAGGGCUUCUAGUUCUGUGUCAGCUACUGUGGUCACAAUGAAGUUCUUGAAUGACUCUGGCCUCCAGUUCUCUUACUUGUAAAUGCUCAAGAGUAGGUAAGGUCUUAGCUCAAUUUUUAAAAAGCAGGUGUUUUGAGCACUGACUUAACAUGACCUUUUAAAUUUUUCUAAAGAAUUUAGUGGGAAUGUGUUUUAUUUAAAAAGUAUUUUCAUUUCCUUGAAUUCUUGUUCUGUGCUAUGAAUACAGACAGACUGGAACAAAGAUAAUAGACUAUAAUACUUGUCCCAAGGUAAUGUAUCAAUAUAAAUACAAACUGAUUUGCUGCACAUGGCAUGCAGAACAGAGAAAUAGGGGAGAUAGUGUAUUCUGGGGGAGUUGGUAGAUAGCAUCUUAGCCACACCCUCAAACCGUCCUAUGUCACUAAAGACAGCUGGCUUUCAUUAUUUCCUUGAAGUGCUUUCUGUCUUUUCAUGCUCUGUGAUUCUCUGGUGUCUCUGCUGUAUACAUGCAUAAGUUUCACAUAUCUAUCUCUAGCUCAUAACACUAUGUGGGAUGUGAUAAUAACUCUUCCUGGACUACACAGGAAAAUCAAAGUAGUGAGGUCUGAAAGCUCUUUUAACGUCAUUUCCCUCAUGCUUUACAAAGAGAUUUCCUCACAAAGCUUGAAAAGUACACGUCAAGAAAACAAUUAGCUGUUUUUUUGCUUCUUUGCUUUGCUUUGUAGUUAACUGAUCUAUGUUUUCUUAACAGGAGUUGGUGUUAUAAGUGAUUUUUAUGACUUCUUGCUCAGUGUAGUCAUGUGCUGCACCAUGACUUUUAAUGACCAAACAGCUGUCCUUGUCUCUCUCCUUUUUCAAUUCCAGUUUAGAGCUGGACCUUAUGUGAGAAAGGUAUUGACCAAUUUUUGUUGAAUGAAUAGAAAAGGUAAACCUAUAAUUUAUGAAACUAUGUUAAAGAAUUUUCACCGUGUGUUCUAGAGGCUAUGUUUUAUCAGGUUGUACCCUUCCCCACCCCUCAGGAAGAUUCAGUGUUAGGGGUUAAUCAAAUUCUCAAAUGGACCAUUGCUCUCCAGAUUACUUGGGAACCAUUAGAAGUGGUUCCGAAUUUAGGGUUGUAGAGCUGAUGAAGUUUGAGUUAUGUGAAGGUGGAUUUUGCAUCACAUGGCCAUAUCACCUUAGUCAGUCAAAGGUCCUUUGUUCUGACACCCUCUAUCUGAUAAGAGUAGAACCUCUCCCAGCCCCCACCUCCACCCUGAGUCCUACCUUUUUUUAGUAACAAGAGUUUUCUUUGGACUAUCAAACUUAAUCAGAGUAUCUCAAUUUUAACACAGAAGUUACUGGAAAUACUUUUAGUUUCCAUUCUGUAUCCAUUUAGCAGGCAAUUAGUAGGUGCCUACUGCAUACUCACUGCUGUUCUAGAUAUUACACAUAAAUAUCUGAAUAAGUCCAAGCCUAAUGUCAAAGUCCUAAGACAGGGACAUUCUAGGGGGAACAAACAUUCUAGGUAUAUGGCGCAAAUAUUAUUGAUAGUAACUCUGUAGGUAGUUUUCUGUACGCUAGGUGAGCAUUUCUAGAUAGUUCUUUACAGGUAGACUUUUUUUUUUUUAAUCUCAGACUGAUUGUAAAUAGCAGCUGUUGUUUUCAUAUUUGCAAACAAACCAGUUUUGAGGUUGAUAUAAUUAGCUUCUAAUUAACAUAUAUUUGCAGCUAAUAUUUAUUAGGUAUUUUUUUGUAAUGGUCUAGAAGAAUAAUAAAUAAAAUUUAUUCUGGGUCAGGAACAAAUCAACUGUGGGUUCUCCAGUGCUGUCCAGUGUGAUGGGAUAAGGUCUGUCCAUCACAGCCACUGGAAGCACUUAAAUACUGUCUUUGGGUAUCAGAGUUUCCUUCAGGAAUCUUUGGGUAGUGAAUGACCGUUGCCCUAGCCAAGGGAGUGGGAAGAAGCCUGAGUAUUCUUUCCAGAAGCAAAGGAUGUGCUAGGCACUAAGCAAUUAGAUGUGGUUGGAACUCUGACCUAAAGCAUUAUGUGGUCAAAGGCUAGACUGCAGAAAUGAGAUGGAACUCACACUGAGGCAUCCAUUCCUUCUGAGAGCCACUGGCCAGAGCUUACUGAGGAUCAGGUUUGCAUUUUGCAGAGGUUUCUGUAGGGUUCAGUCCGUGUUGGAAAGGAAGACACUAAGUGGACUCUGAUGGGGUGGUGGUGCAUUUAGAAGAUGCAUUUAACAAGUUGUAGUUGAAAGAGUGAGGAGUGGGGCUGUUACUGUAGGACUGACCUGUGAGGUUCUGAUCUUGGCAGCCAAGACUGGGAACAGGACAGGCGUGGAAGCAUCUGCAGAAGAGGGAAUGACACUUAGAGAGAUUAUUUGCUUUUGGUGGUUUUGUUUGGUUUUGUUUUUUGAGACAUGAUCUCCUGUGUCAGACAUUUGUCUUGAAUUCAUUAUGUAGUGGAAGUUGGCCUUGAUCUCCUCAGAGCCUCCUGCCUUCACCUCGUAUGUGCUAGGAUUGCAGAUGCAGACCUACAGUCAGUUUAUGCCUUGGUUUGGAUGGUCCCCAUGGCUUCAUGCAUACUAUGUGAGCAUCUACUAACUGAGCUACUCCCCAGUCCUUUAAGUCAAUUGAAAUACUUUAAAAUUUCCUAAGAGUGAAAACUACCCUGGUCAGGCCAGCUUUUCUAGCAAGAUUUUGCUGAAAGGACCCUGAUGUAGCUGUCUCUUGUGAGGCUAUGCCGGGGCCUAGCAAACACAGAAGUGAUUGCUCACAGUCAUCUAUUGGAUGGAACACAGGCCCCCAAUGGAGGAGCUAGAGAAAAUACCCAAGGAGUUGAAGGGGUCUGCAACCCUAUAGGUGGAACAACAAUAUGAACUAACCAGUACCCCCCCCCCCCCCCAGCUUGUGUCUCUAGCUGCAUAUGAAUCAGAAGAUGGCCUGGUCGGCCAUCAGUGGAAAGAAAGGCCCAUUGGUCUUGCAAACUUUAUAUGCCUAAGUACACCAGGCCAAAAGAACACCAGGACCAAGAAGUAGGAGUGAGGGGGGGGAGAGUGGGGGGGCAUGGGGGACUUUUGGGAUAGUAUUGGAAAUGUAAAUGAAGAAAAUACAUAAUUAAAAAAAUAAAUUAAAAAAAAAAGAAAACUACCUACUGUAUUUGACUUCUUUCUCGCUCUUCUCUAACAUUUCUGAAGCAGUAACAGUAAGUGUAUGGAGUAUAUAUGCAGGAAAGCACAUACUAUAUCAAGAAGUAAAUAAAAAGUAGAACCUAUAGUAACUUUAAAUGCUUUCUGUCUUUAAUAAAAAUCAAGGUAGGUGUUCAUGAUUUUUCUGUAUAAUAUCUAAUAUAUUAUACUUAGAAUUUACAUAAUAUCUUGAUAGUAAUUGACUAAACAAUACCAUUGAUUCACAAAGCCUGAAGUGUAUCUAAUGUAAGGAGGUGUUUAGUUUGCCCAACCCAAUAUUAGACUCACAGAGUUACAGGUAAAAUUUGAGAUUUUGUGAACACAUUACUUUUAUGCUUUUUACUAAUUCUAUAUAGAGUUAUUCUAUGUAAUAAAUUUUAGUGUUUUAAGUUAGAAUUUGUAAAACCCUGUGUAAGAAAUGUAAACUUCAAAAAUGACUAUAUUUCUGGAGCAAAAUUCCCCAAGGAUAGUAUUUUAUGCCCCACCUCAGAAGAAUGUGAGUUCCAAGUUAUUCUUCAGGCGAGUCAUAGUAACUCUGGAGAAAUUACUAUCUAUCAUCAGUGCUGGACAAAUGGCAGCUACUACUCUUACAAAGGACCUGGUUCCCAGUGCCCACAUUGGGCAGCGUGUAGCUGCCAGUGACCCUAGCUCCAGGGACUCUCUGACCUUUUCAGGCACCUGCAUACUUGUAGUUCACGUACAUAAACUCAGACAUACAUGUACAGAUAAAAUAAUAAUGUAUACGUACACAUAAAAUAAAAAUGAGUAUUUAUUUAAAAGUAUAUAUUACCGAUGUAUAAUAUGCUUAGAUACACAUGUCUGUCAGGUGACAUUACUAAUCUCUGAAAACCUUACUAGAUAAUUUCUGUCACUGACCAUAGCAACUGUCCAACUAAAACUGAUGUUCUAGAUUAGGAUUUCCAUUGGCUCUUUGCAUCUGGAGGAUAACUGUGGUGCCAGGGUCCUAGGGUACUCUAUCUAGGUAGGUGGUAAUCCCAGUGCACUGCCCUGCGUGGAUCUUUGUCUCUGAAGAGACAAGUAAACAGACAUUUAAAAUUAUGUGUGCAAAGACUUGGGAGAGGAGGCUGGGAACUUGUGUUUGUCAAAGAUUAGAAAAAUGUAGGUUCUGACGAGGAUUAGGGCUUGUUCAAAUUCUCCUUUAAAAUAAGUUGAAAUCUUAUCUUUAGUAGUGUGAUUAAUAGCUUAGGAAGUGAUUAUGUUAUGUUCUCUCUAGCAGAGCUGUCCAGAGUGAUUAUCUGAAGUCUGUCAUUUGCUUCUCUUAGAUAGCAUCAUGGAAACAGUAGGUGAAGUGCUAUGGUACUUUCCCCCAUGAUGAGGCUGCAUCCUUUACAUUUUGAUGGACCUGACUUUAUGUUGGACGGUAGUCAUGGUAAAAAGCAACUGUCCAGUCUGUCCUGUUUCUGAAAUCUGUUAGCAUUCCCAACAGGAAUUUUUUAUGUUCUUUGCAUGUUAAUUAUGAAUUCCGUUUGGAGACAGAUCUAAGGCUGUAGACUGAAAUUUUAUAUUAGGACGUUUUGGAAUGUAAGCUCAGUAUUUUAAGAUUUAUCUUUUAAAUUAUGUGUAUGUGCCUAUCUGUACAUGCUGCUAUUUAUACAUGAGUGCCAGGUGCCUGUAGAGCCAGAGAGGGCUUUGGGUCCCCAAGCUGCCCAGUGUGGGCGAUGGCAACUAUAAUAUGGGUCCUCUGUAAGAUUAGUACAUGCUCUAAACCACUGAGUUGUUCACACACACACACACACACACACACACACACACACACUUUUUAUUCUUAUGUAUGUCUGUAUGUCCCUAUGUUCAGUGUGUAUGUGGGUGCUCUUGGGAGCCAGAAUGAGCAUCAGAUUUCCAGACACUGAAAUUACAGGAUUUGAGGAUCCACCCUGGUGUGAGACCAAGCUUCAGUCUCCUGGGAGAGCAGCAGCCACUCUUAACUUCCUCUCAAGCCUCUUCAAUAUUUAAAUAUAAUUUUGAUAAGUUGCAUGUUAACUAUAUCACAGGAUUUUUAUCACUCACUUUUUCCUUAUUUUGCCAUUGUAUACAUUUAGCAUUUUUCCCUUUUAAAGAUGAUCCUCUGCUCCUGUGAGCAAAGGCCCUGGUUCUUUUCAUUUGAGUGACUUGGUCCUCUUUACCAAGUCUGUUCUGUGUUUCAUCUUGGUUGCUUUUAUUGUCUUUAGUGUUCAAGAUUCCCUUGCAUGUGACUAAACAACCCAGAAUGUCCUGCCAAUGUCAUUAUUACGUCUGGACUUCCCCUCCCACAGUGUCCCUGUUGAUGCUUUUCCCAGAGGACCUGCCUUCAUUGCACCCAUCCAUGUCUGCUUAGCACAUGCUUCGGCUUCCAUGUCCUUCUCACUGCCUCCUUUUAUAAAGUUGCCCCCUGGCCUAGGCUCCCAUAUCUAAUUUUGAUUCUACUCUACUCUUUAGUGUUCUGCACUUCUCUUUCUCAAGGCUUCCUUUCUGUGUCUGAGGUAGUGGUAUGCUUGACCAUAUAUGUAAUUCUUUGAAGAAUCUUACUUUGUGUCUCUUUCAGCAAAUAAUCAGGGCAUCUUGCAUGGACAGUUAUGUCUCAGUGAUAAAUGAAUUACCAACUCUGUUGCUGUAAUAUUCUUUCCAACUCAACAAUGCUGCAUCUCCUGUUUGUGACUAUAGAUUAAUUUAACAAUAAUGGAAUUAUAAUCUACACGAUUAUUGAUAUAAUUGACAUAGAGCAGCUGCCUAUGGGUGGCUGAAAUCCUGGAUCUUAAAAUUAGUUUAAGAAAGUUUAAUAGAGUGGUAGCUUUCUUACAUACCGAGAAUAACUAAAUGGUGUGUGGGGAAGUCACAUUCACAAUAUAGAAGAUGACUAGAAUUCAACUAACAAAUACAUGAAUAUGGCUAAAUGGCCAAAUUUCAGUAAAAUAUGUUAAUUUUUUGAGUAAUUAUACACAUCUGGAUAAGGAUACUCAACACAUAGAUUUUUCAUCUGUACCAGAUUCAUUAUAAAAUUUAAUUUAGUUAUUUGAAUGGCAAGAUAAUCUGUAAGACUAAGUAGUGAGAAUAGAUGUAAUUCUUAACAAUAAUGAGUAUGUUUGAAGGGGGUGGGAAAUUCAUACUAAAGCCACAAGCAAA